GACGAACGCUGGCGGCGUGCCUAAUACAUGCAAGUCGAACGCUUCUUUCCUCCCGAGUGCUUGCACUCAAUUGGAAAGAGGAGUGGCGGACGGGUGAGUAACACUUGGGUAACCUACCCAUCAGAGGGGGAUAACACUUGGAAACAGGUGCUAAUACCGCAUAACAGUUUAUGCCGCAUGGCAUAAGAGUGAAAGGCGCUUUCGGGUGUCGCUGAUGGAUGGACCCGCGGUGCAUUAGCUAGUUGGUGAGGUAACGGCUCACCACGGCCACGAUGCAUAGCCGACCUGAGAGGGUGAUCGGCCACACUGGGACUGAGACACGGCCCAGACUCCUACGGGAGGCAGCAGUAGGGAAUCUUCGGCAAUGGACGAAAGUCUGACCGAGCAACGCCGCGUGAGUGAAGAAGGUUUUCGGAUCGUAAAACUCUGUUGUUAGAGAAGAACAAGGACGUUAGUAACUGAACGUCACCUGACGGUAUCUAACCAGAAAGCCACGGCUAACUACGUG
rnacentral:rRNA from 1 species